AAGAGUUAAAACAACUCCUAAACCCAUGUGAACCUACCAUUGUUGCCUCGGCAGGUCUGCAACUUACCCUGAGGGGACCUACCCUGUAGGGACCUUACCCGGUAGUUGCCGGCAUAACCUGCCGGUGGUCUACUAAACUCUGUUUACUAUGUUAUUCUGAAUAAUAUAACUAAAUAAGUUA
rnacentral:misc_RNA from 1 species